GUUCCGGUGGUCUAGACUACGGAAGAGGGCUGGGAAGCUGAAGGUAUAUUACUGGCCCCACCCACGGGACGUAAACAACUGCUACUAAGAGAAGAGAGAGAAGAGGUACAAGAUGCACUGAUGGUGAGCUCCAGCCAAGAAAUGAUGUCCGAACAAUAGCUGCUGUGGGAAUCACCCCAUGAGGAAGCUGAUGAUCACCUACUGCCAUGCGCCAAGGCCUUCUGUGCGGACCCGGGAGUUCUGCUCCAUUGGAAGCAUCACCAUCGCCAAUCACUGUAUCAGGCAGCGCUGGGUCGGGAGGCAGAGCCCUGCCAGGCUUCCCCAGUCCAAGCAUCUCCCCACACCUGCCCGAUGGCUGCCUCGCCUCCCCCAGCAGACUGUGAGCUCUGAGAUGCUGGGCUGAGUCUCCCAACUCAUCACGGUGCAACCAGCACUUGGCACAAGCUUGGAACAGAGCGGCGUUCAAUAUACAUUUGUAAAUGGGAUAAAAAUAUGGAAUGCUUCUCGAAUUUUUGUGUCGUCCUCGGGCAGGGGCCAUGCUAAUCUCUGUACUGUUCCAGCUUUAGUGUCUAUGCUGCUAGAGUGGACACACACAAAUAAAAGUUUUUAAUGUGCAGCACCUACCCAGCAGUCCUACUUUGUGGAAUCUGUCUGAUGGACAGCUUCAUAAAACUCAUAAUGGUAAAUAUUUAAGAAUGGGCCUUGCAGUGUUAUUUGUAAGGAUAGAUGUUCAUCAAAGGGGGAGUGGUUAUAUAAGUGGUUAAAUAACAAGUGGAACACUGUGCAGGAGUGGAAGAGUGAAAAGAGCUGUGCGUGUGAGGUUGAGUUAUCUGGAAUUACAAAGUUGUCAUGGCAGUUUUAGAGGAUUCAAUCUCAUACUACACACCUGUGUUAGACUAGAUUGCACUGUGGUGACAAGCAGAGCCAAACGUAAUGUGUAAACACAACAGAGGUUUGUUUGUCGCUUAACAGUCCCAGGUUGAAG
ensembl:lncRNA